UUAUGGCUCAGGAUGAACGCUGGCGGCGUGCUUAACACAUGCAAGUCGAACGAGGGUUGCUGGUUGAAGUUUCGGAUGGAAACCGGUAAUUCCUAGUGGCGGACGGGUGAGUAACGCGUGGGGAACCUGCCCCGCUCCGGGGGAUACCAGCUGGAAACGGCUGUUAAUACCGCAUAAGCGCACAGCAUUGCAUGAUGCAGUGUGAAAAACUCCGGUGGAACGGGAUGGCCCCGCGUCUGAUUAGCCAGUUGGCAGGGUAACGGCCUACCAAAGCGACGAUCAGUAGCCGGCCUGAGAGGGCGACCGGCCACAUUGGGACUGAGACACGGCCCAAACUCCUACGGGAGGCAGCAGUGGGGAAUAUUGCACAAUGGGGGAAACCCUGAUGCAGCCGACGCCGCGUGAGUGAGGAAGUAUUUCGGUAUGUAAAGCUCUAUCAGCAGGGAAGAAGAUGACGGUACCUGCACAAGAAGCCCCGGCUAACUACGUGCCAGCAGCGGC
rnacentral:rRNA from 1 species